CCAAUAGCGUAUAUUAAAGUUGUUGCAGUUAAAAAGCUCGUAGUUGAAUUUUGGGUUUGGCCGAUUGGUCCGUUCUUGUAGCGAGUACUGGUCGGUUGGGCCUCACCGCUUGGGGAAGGGUAAUGUCCUUUAUUGGGUGUUGCUCGGAGCCAAGACCUUUACCUUGAAAAAAUUAGAGUGUUUAAAGCAGGCUUAUGCAGGAAUCAAUUAGCAUGGAAUAAUAGAAUAGGACAACGAUUCUAGUUUGUUGGUUUCUAGGACCGUUGUAAUGAUUAAUAGGGAUAGUUGGGGGCAUUAGUAUUCAAUUGUCAGAGGUGAAAUUCUUGGAAUUAUUGAAGACUAACUAUUGCGAAAGCAUUUGCCAAGGAUGUUUUCAUUAAUCAAGAACGAAAGUUAGGGGAUCGAAGACGAUCAGAUACCGUCGUAGUCUUAACCAUAAACUAUGCCGACUAGGGAUCGGGCGAUGUUGUUUCAAUGACUCGCUCGGCACCUUAUG
rnacentral:misc_RNA from 1 species